rnacentral:lncRNA from 1 species
UCUGCCCCCUAGGAGCAGAGGGGGUGGUGAAAGUAUAAAACCUCUUGGGCUCCCUCCAGCCAGACUGUAGACCUACUAGAAACUAUAAAGACACCUGAGUGUCGCCCCACUGGCUAAACUCUCCCGUCACAAUGCUGUCACGGAGGGCUACUACCCACUCUACUUCUCUUCACAGGAGGGCUACUACCCACUCUACUUCCCUUCACAGGAGGGCGACUACCCACUCUACUUCUCUUCACAGGAGGGCUACUACCCACUCUACUUCUCUUCACAGGAGGGCUACUACCCACUCUACUUCCCUUCACAGGAGGGCUACUACCCACUCUACUUCCCUUCACAGAAAGUGGACUGUUCAUUUGAUCUUUGCUUUGGCUGGUCUUGCUCUCUCAGACCACGUUACUGAUGGAGAUACCAGCGUGGAAACCACAGGCACUCCUGAUGCCCCUGACGCCCCAGGCAAGUUCUGCAUGCUGUGCUGUACUGAAGACUGUAUCGAGGAAAGCAGCCAUGUAGGGAGCCAAGGUUGUUGGAUGCCCUGUAUGGAGGCAUGUUGGAAGGAAUGUAUGGAGCCCUAUAUGGAUCUCUGUAUGGAGCCCUGUACACAGGAUUCGUCGAAGGUGUGCAACAGUAAGGGGGACAUUAAUGAGGACAGUAAGGGGGAUGGUAAGGGGGACGGUAAGGGGGACGGUAAGGGAGACGGUAAGGGAGGCAGUAAGGGAGACGGUAAGAAGGACAGUAACGAGGACACUAAGAGGGACGGUAAGGGGGACGGUAAGGGAGGCGGUAAGGGGGACGGUAAGGGGGACGGUAAGGGAGGCAGUAAGGAGGACAGUAAGGGAGACGGUAAGAAGGACAGUAAGGGGGACGGUAAGGGAGGCGGUAAGGAAGGCAGUAAGGAGGACGGUAAGGGAGGCAGUAAGGAGGACAGUAAGGGAGGCGGUAAGGAAGGCAGUAAGGAGGACGGUAAGGGAGGCAGUAAGGAGGACAUUAAUGAGGACAGUAAGGGAGACGGUAAGAAGGACAGUAAGGAGGACGGUAAGGGAGGCGGUAAGGAAGGCAGUAAGGAGGACGGUAAGGGAGGCAGUAAGGAGGACAGUAAGGGAGGCGGUAAGGAAGGCAGUAAGGAGGACGGUAAGGGAGGCAGUAAGGAGGACAUUAAUGAGGACAGUAAGGGGGACGGUAAGGGGGACGGUAAGGGAGACGGUAAGGGAGGCAGUAAGGGAGACGGUAAGAAGGACAGUAACGAGGACGGUAAGAGGGACGGUAAGGGGGACGGUAAGGGAGACGGUAAGGGAGGCGGUAAGGAAGGCAGUAAGGAGGACGGUAAGGGAGGCAGUAAGGAGGACAUUAAUGAGGACAGUAAGGGGGAUGGUAAGGGGGACGGUAAGGGAGGCAGUAAGGAGGACAGUAAGGGAGGCGGUAAGGAAGGCAGUAAGGAGGACGGUAAGGGAGGCAGUAAGGAGGACAUUAAUGAGGACAGUAAGGGGGAUGGUAAGGAAGUCGAUAAGGGAGACAAUAAGGGGGACAGUAAGGGGGUUAGUAAGGGAGACAGUAAGGGGGACAGUAAUGGGGUUAGUAAGGGAGACAGUAAGGGGGACAGUAAGGGGGACAGUAAGAGGGACGGUAAGGAAGUCGAUAAGGGAGACAAUAAGGGGGACAGUAAGGGGGUUACUAAGGGAGACAGUAAGGGGGACAGUAAGGGGGUUAGUAAGGGAGACAGUAAGGGGGACAGUAAGGAGGACAGUAAGAGGGACGGUAAGGAAGUCGAUAAGGGAGACAAUAAGGGGGACAGUAAGGGGGUUACUAAGGGAGACAGUAAGGGGGACAGUAAGGGGGUUAGUAAGGGAGACAGUAAGGGGGACAGUAAGGAGGACAGUAAGGGGGUUAGUAAGGGAGACAGUAAGGGGGGACAGUAAGGAGGACAGUAAGGGGGUUAGUAAGGGAGACAGUAAGGGGGACAGUAAGGGGGUUAGUAAGGGGGACAGUAAGGAGGACAGUAAGGGGGUUACUAAGGGAGACAGUAAGGGGGACAGUAAGGAGGACAGUAAGGGGGUUACUAAGGGAGACAAUAAGGGGGACAGUAAGGGGGUUAGUAAGGGAGACAGUAAGGGGGACAGUAAGGGGGUUAGUAAGGGGGACGGUAAGGGGGACAGUAAGGAGGACAGUAAGAGGGACGGUAAGGAAGUCGAUAAGGGAGACAGUAAGGGGGACAGUAAGGAGGUUAGUAAGGGAGACAGUAAGGGGGACAGUAAGGGGGUUAGUAAGGGAGACAGUAAGGGGGACAGUAAGGAGGACAGUAAGAGGGACGGUAAGGAAGUCGAUAAGGGAGACAAUAAGGGGGACAGUAAGGGGGUUACUAAGGGAGACAGUAAGGGGGAUAGUAAGGGAGCCGGUAAGGAAGUCGAUAAGGGAGACAGUAAGGGGGAAAGAAAAAGACAGUAAGUGUGAGUGUAGUCUAACGUUCCUUAACCCUCUCUUGGUCCUCAAAAUGGGGAAGGUGUCUACAGAGAUACAAUUGAAUUAUUAUGCUGUUUUGAUGUACAUAACAUUUUUGCCCACUUUUUGACUGUUUUCUUGUUGUUUUUAAUUUCCUGAUGUUUUGAGAUCCUCUCUAGUGUUUACAGAACAUAAGGGUCUGAUUGGUGAAAUCAAUGCUAGCAGUAAUAUACAGAAUGACAAUGUAUGAGAAGAAAUGUGUCCAAUUCCAAUGAUAAUGAGUACAUGAUGCGUGAGAUGUUCAUUAAAGAAUCAUUUCUGUGAUGUGGAUUUUUGCCACUCUGCACAACCUGACUCCAGGGCUAUGCCUCUCCCCCUUCAGAAGAAGGCCUCUGUCAGGUUUAUUAUGGGUUUUAUGGUAUAAAAUCAUGUUUUAUAAUGAACUUCACUGCCUUAGUUUGAGUAUUUUGAUUUCUCGAUCUCUUUGUUUUAAGGUACUUAUUAUGUUGCAUUUAUUCAAUAUAAUCACACAUGAGAAUCAAAGUUGUAACACUUAAGAUAAGAACGAUUGACAGGUAACAUGUUUUUUGUUUAUGGUUGUUUAUUGAUUGUUUAUGCUGUUCAGGUUUUCCCCUUCUGCUAUACAAAGAAUGUUAUGCCUGUUCAGUGCAUUUACCUUCCUCUAGUCAUUUCCUGGGGAAGGAGUUUUGGUUCAUGGAAGACUGUUCGCUCUCCCACCGCCUGAUGUGCCCCGUUACAGUGAUGGAUGAAGAGGCACGUCUGUUAAUCCACUAAAGAAAAGUAUGGAAUGUUGGAUUCAAAAUUCUGGGUGCCCCUUAAAUUUGCUUAACCUCUCUUAGGUCAGGAGUCUUCUUCUCAAAACCCAUUGGAGGAAAAGCUCAGAGGGGAGGUAUCUCUGGCUUUCUCAUCCAAUGGGUUUUGUGAAGGAGAUGAGGAGAGAGAGGAGAGGACAUGAGGAGUGUGCAAUUGAGAUCUUCCCAAUGGAUCCUAGCUGACCCUCCUGAGUUCAAAGGCCAAUGGCUGUAAUUCAGCUAUAGGUAGUUUCAAGUGAUAGAUAUAUCUAAUAUACGGUCUUCUCUGACCAAGAGGGUGGACAACAUUGACUAAAUGUUUUGACCAGCGUCUAGGUACUUGGAGAGAAAGCAGUGAUAGGAUGACUUUGUAAUGAUGGUUUUGUCCUUCAAUUGUUGGCAUAUUGUUAUGACCCUUCCAAGGAACUUGCCUGUUUCCCCCUUAUGCAUAUUUGUCUAGUAAACAUUUUAAAAUAUAGAACCUGUUUGCCUUAUCCUUGUAUCCGGCAUUUUCCAAACCUUGAACAAAUAAAUUAUUCUCAACAAUCUCAAAGAUAGUUUAAUAUUUGAUCAUGGAGAAUCAAACUUAGGUUUUGUUAAAGACAGUUUAUUUAAGUUGUGACAUAAUCAUUAUACAAGUUACACUCCUGUCCUUUCAAUUAGCGGGUUGAUAAAAUGGUCACUAUUUUCCCUUACAAUGCCCUUAAGAAAACCAGCUGGCCCAGUGAAAUGACUGUGUUUUAUUUAUACACAGAGUAUAUCAAAUCAUUUAGGAACCCCUCCCCCUUACUUUUUCCCUCAG